AAUUCUCAAUGUGUCCCCCCUGCUCUUGUGGCUGGGUCUUGGGGACAUUUGGACUUGGAGCUUUGCUGGUCCCUUUCUCUGUGAGAUGUGGGUCAGCUCCUCUCAAAUGCAUUCGCAGAACUCGAUGCAAUCUGCCAAUGGUGUGAUAGUUGUCAACACCACUGGGAUUGCCUUCCGUCUUGUUCAGCUUCAAAUUGUCUCUCUUAGACAAACUUAUUACUGAAU
rnacentral:misc_RNA from 1 species